rnacentral:rRNA from 1 species
GGGGAGCAGCCCAGAGCCUGAAUCAGUGUGUGUGUUAGUGGAAGCGUCUGGAAAGGCGUGCGAUACAGGGUGACAGCCCCGUACACAAAAAUGCACAUACUGUGAGCUCGAUGAGUAGGGCGGGACACGUGGUAUCCUGUCUGAAUAUGGGGGGACCAUCCUCCAAGGCUAAAUACUCCUGACUGACCGAUAGUGAACCAGUACCGUGAGGGAAAGGCGAAAAGAACCCCGGCGAGGGGAGUGAAAAAGAACCUGAAACCGUGUACGUACAAGCAGUGGGAGCACGCUUAGGCGUGUGACUGCGUACCUUUUGUAUAAUGGGUCAGCGACUUAUAUUCUGUAGCAAGGUUAACCGAAUAGGGGAGCCGAAGGGAAACCGAGUCUUAACUGGGCGUUAAGUUGCAGGGUAUAGACCCGAAACCCGGUGAUCUAGCCAUGGGCAGGUUGAAGGUUGGGUAACACUAACUGGAGGACCGAACCGACUAAUGUUGAAAAAUUAGCGGAUGACUUGUGGCUGGGGGUGAAAGGCCAAUCAAACCGGGAGAUAGCUGGUUCUCCCCGAAAGCUAUUUAGGUAGCGCCUCGUGAAUUCAUCUCCGGGGGUAGAGCACUGUUUCGGCAAGGGGGUCAUCCCGACUUACCAACCCGAUGCAAACUGCGAAUACCGGAGAAUGUUAUCACGGGAGACACACGGCGGGUGCUAACGUCCGUCGUGAAGAGGGAAACAACCCAGACCGCCAGCUAAGGUCCCAAAGUCAUGGUUAAGUGGGAAACGAUGUGGGAAGGCCCAGACAGCCAGGAUGUUGGCUUAGAAGCAGCCAUCAUUUAAAGAAAGCGUAAUAGCUCACUGGUCGAGUCGGCCUGCGCGGAAGAUGUAACGGGGCUAAACCAUG